GAGCAAACCAAGUGUAUAUUAUCUCAAUUUAUCAAAGAUCUUUAUAUUGCAGAAACCAUUUGAGAGCACUGUAGGUGGAUUGUACCUUCAGCCGUAACAGCGGAUUGGGUCGUUACACCCCUUGGCAGCCGACUGUCCAAGACCAAAGCGACCGCCCUUUGCAAGAUACUGUUGAUGGUACUCCUCUGCCCUGUAGAAUUUCUUCGCCGGAAGAAUCUCUGUAACAAUUUUACGGUUCAGGACCUGCUGGUGCUUCUCCAGAGACUCCUUGGCUGCUUUCUCCUGCUCUGGUGUAUAGUAGUAUAUCCCAGAUCUAUACUGAGUACCUACAUCACCACCCUGCCGAUUGAGCGUAGUCGGGUCAUGCCGCGCCCAGAAAACGUCGAGCAGAUCCUCAUACCGGCACGCGGCCGGAUCGUACUCCAGCCUCACAACCUCCGAAUGCCCCGUAGCGCCGCUGCAGACAUCCUCGUAGGUUGGAUUAUGAAUCACCCCCUGCGAAUACCCGACCUCAGUCCUGCUCACCCCCGGCACGCGCUGGAACGCCAACUCCACCCCCCAGAAGCAGCCGGCGCCGAACUGCGCGAACUGCUGCCCCGGCGCCGGGACGUCGUCGUCGGGACCCUGCGCGAUGGCGGCGGAGGCGGGGUCGGAGGCGGCGGCGGGGCGGCCGCCGAAUCCGAGUCCGAACUUGCCGAGCCAGCUCAUGGGGCGGCGGAUCGGAGUCCUAACCCUAGAUUGGAGGAGGGAGGGGCAGAAUCGUAAUUUGUGGGAGUGAGAGAGGGCGGUGAGGGCGAGGGGAGAUGAGAGU
rnacentral:misc_RNA from 1 species